GCAUCGGUGGUUCAGUGAUUGAAUGCUCGUCUGCCACGCGGGCGGCCCGGGUUCGAUUCCUGGCCGAGGUU
rnacentral:tRNA from 1 species